rnacentral:rRNA from 1 species
UACGUAGGGGGCGAGCGUUAUCCGGAUUUACUGGGUGUAAAGGGAGCGCAGGCGGCACGGCAAGCCUGAUGUGAAAGCCCGCGGCCCAACCGCGGGACUGCAUUGGGAACUACCGGGCUGGAGUGCCGGAGAGGUAGGCGGAAUUCCUAGUGUAGCGGUGAAAUGCGUAGAUAUUAGGAGGAACACCAGUGGCGAAGGCGGCCUACUGGACGGUGACUGACGCUGAGGCUCGAAAGCGUGGGGAGCAAACAGG